rnacentral:rRNA from 1 species
UAAGGAAUAUUGGUCAAUGGACGCAAGUCUGAACCAGCCAUGCCGCGUGAAGGAUGAAGGUCCUCUGGAUUGUAAACUUCUUUUAUAGGGGAAGAAACCUUUUAAUUUUUAAGAGUUGACGGUACCCUGUGAAUAAGCACCGGCUAACUCCGUGCCAGCAGCCGCGGUAAUACGGAGGGUGCAAGCGUUAUCCGGAUUCACUGGGUUUAAAGGGUGCGUAGGUGGGUCUGUAAGUCAGUGGGUGAAAUCUCCGGGCUCAACCCGGAAACUGCCAUUGAUACUAUAGGUCUUGAAUUUUCCGGAGGUAAGCGGAAUAUGUCAUGUAGCGGUGAAAUGCUUAGAUAUGACAUAGAACACCAAUUGCGAAGGCAGCUUACUACAGGAACAUUGACACUGAGGCACGAAAGCGUGGGGAUCAAACAGGAUUAGAUACCCUGGUAGUCCACGCCCUAAACUAUGGAUACUCGACAUUUGUGAUACACAAUAAGUGUCUGAGCGAAAGCAUUAAGUAUCCCACC